rnacentral:rRNA from 1 species
UAGUGGAAGCGUCUGGAAAGGCGCGCGAUACAGGGUGACAGCCCCGUACACAAAAGCGCAUGUGCUGUGAGCUCGAUGAGUAGGGCGGGACACGUGGUAUCCUGUCUGAAUAUGGGGGGACCAUCCUCCAAGGCUAAAUACUCCUGACUGACCGAUAGUGAACCAGUACCGUGAGGGAAAGGCGAAAAGAACCCCGGCGAGGGGAGUGAAAAAGAACCUGAAACCGUGUACGUACAAGCAGUGGGAGCCCCACCACUAAGCCAGUGGUGAACUCCACAUACGCAUCCUUUGCUGAGGAUACGGUUAACGGAGCGAAAGCGACGUUCAACCGCAAAAGAAGCAGAGGGGGCUUAGUGGUGGGGUGACUGCGUACCUUUUGUAUAAUGGGUCAGCGACUUAUAUUCUGUAGCAAGGUUAACCGAAUAGGGGAGCCGGAGGGAAACCGAGUCUUAAUUGGGCGUUAAGUUGCAGGGUAUAGACCCGAAACCCGGUGAUCUAGCCAUGGGCAGGUUGAAGGUUGGGUAACACUAACUGGAGGACCGAACCGACUAAUGUUGAAAAAUUAGCGGAUGACCUGUGGCUGGGGGUGAAAGGCCAAUCAAACCGGGAGAUAGCUGGUUCUCCCCGAAAGCUAUUUAGGUAGCGCCUCGUGAAUUCAUCUCCGGGGGUAGAGCACUGUUUCGGCUAGGGGGCCAUCCCGGCUUACCAACCCGAUGCAAACUGCGAAUACCGGAGAAUGUUAUCACGGGAGACACACGGCGGGUGCUAACGUCCGUCGUGAAGAGGGAAACAACCCAGACCGCCAGCUAAGGUCCCAAAGUCAUGGUUAAGUGGGAAACGAUGUGGGAAGGCCCAGACAGCCAGGAUGUUGGCUUAGAAGCAGCCAUCAUUUAAAGAAAGCGUAAUAGCUCACUGGUCGAGUCGGCCUGCGCGGAAGAUGUAACGGGGCUAAACCAUG